rnacentral:rRNA from 1 species
GUUUUAGCCGCCGCGGUAAUACGUAGGGGGCAAGCGUUGUCCGGAAUCAUUGGGCGUAAAGAGCGUGUAGGCGGUCCGGUAAGUCGGUUGUGAAAGUCCAGGGCUCAACCCUGGGAUGCCGAUCGAUACUGUCGGACUAGAGUUCGGAAGAGGCGAGUGGAAUUCCCGGUGUAGCGGUGAAAUGCGCAGAUAUCGGGAGGAACACCAAUGGCGAAGGCAGCUCGCUGGGACGUUACUGACGCUGAGACGCGAAAGCGUGGGGAGCAAACAGGAUUAGAUACCCGUGUAGUCC